UUGGAGGGCAAGUCUGGUGCCAGCAGCCGCGGUAAUUCCAGCUCCAAUAGCGUAUAUUAAAGUUGUUGCAGUUAAAAAGCUCGUAGUUGAAUUUCGGGGUUAGUAGGUUGGUCAUGCCACUGGUAUGUACUGGUCUCACUGAUUCCUCCUUCCUGAUGAACUGUAAUGCCACUAAUUUGGUGUUGCGGGGAAUCUGGACUGUUACUUUGAAAAAAUUAGAGUGUUUAAAGCAAGCUAACGCUUGAAUACAUUAGCAUGGAAUAAUGAAAUAGGACGUUCGAUCCUAUUUUGUGGUUUCUAGGAUUGACGUAAUGAUUAAUAAGGAUAGUUGGGGCAUUAGUAUUCAAUUGUCAGAGGUGAAAUUCUUGGAUUUAUGAAGACCUAACUACUGCGAAAGCAAUUUGCCAAGGAUGUUUUCAUUAAUCAAG
rnacentral:rRNA from 1 species